rnacentral:rRNA from 1 species
AUUGAACGCUGGCGGCAGGCCUAACACAUGCAAGUCGAGCGGAUGAAGGUAGCUUGCUCCUGGAUUCAGCGGCGGACGGGUGAGUAAUGCCUAGGAAUCUGCCUGGUAGUGGGGGAUAACGUCCGUAAACGGGCGCUAAUACCGCAUACGUCCUGAGGGAGAAAGUGGGGGAUCUUCGGACCUCACGCUAUCAGAUGAGCCUAGGUCGGAUUAGAUAGUUGGUGGGGUAAAGGCCUACCAAGGCGACGAUCCGUAACUGGUCUGAGAGGAUGAUCAGUCACACUGGAACUGAGACACGGCCCAGACUCCUACGGGAGGCAGCGGUGGGGAAUAUUGGACGAUGGGCGAGAGCCUGAUCCAGCAAUGCCGCGUGUGUGAAGAAGGUCUUCGGAUUGUAAAGCACUUUAAGUUGGGAGAAAGGGCAGUAAGUUAGUCCCUUGCUGUUUUGACGUUACCAACAGAAUAAGCACCGGCUAACUUCGUG